CCCUGGCUCAGGACGAACGCCGGGCGGCAUGCCUAAUACAUGCAAGUCGAGCGGAGUUUUGUUGAAAGCUUGCUUUCAACAGGAUUUAGCGGCGGACGGGUGAGUAACACGUAGGCAACCUGCCCCAUAGCCUGGGAUAACUACCGGAAACGGUAGCUAAUACCGGAUAAUUCCUUUCCCCWCCUGGGAAGAGGAUGAAAGACGGAGUAAUCUGUCGCUGAGGGAUGGGCCUGCGGCGCAUUAGCUAGUUGGUGGGGUAACGGCUCACCAAGGCGACGAUGCGUAGCCGACCUGAGAGGGUGAACGGCCACACUGGGACUGAGACACGGCCCAGACUCCUACGGGAGGCAGCAGUAGGGAAUCUUCCGCAAUGGGCGCAAGCCUGACGGAGCAAUGCCGCGUGAGUGAUGAAGGUUUUCGGAUCGUAAAGCUCUGUUGCCAGGGAAGAACGUCUUAUAGAGUAACUGCUAUAAGAGUGACGGUACCUGAGAAGAAAGCCCCGGCUAACUA
rnacentral:rRNA from 1 species